AUUGAACGCUGGCGGCAGGCCUAACACAUGCAAGUCGAACGAGUCGCGCACGGGUGUGUAACGUCUGUGACCUUGCCUUAUGGAUGGGGUUACCUACUGGAACCGGUACUUAAUACCGCAUACCUGCAGAUGAUACCAGAUGGGAUUAGCUAGUUGGUGGGGUAACGGCUUACCACGGCGACGAUCCCUAGUUGGUCUGAGAGGAUGACCAGCCACACUGGAACUGAGGCACGGUCCAGACUCCUACGGGAGGCAGCAGUGGGGAAUCUUGCGCAAUGGGCGCAAGCCUGAUGCAGCCAUGCCGCGUGUGUGAAGAAGGCCUUCGGGUUGUAAAGUUCUGUCAGCGGGGAGGCGUUACCCGCAGAAGAAGCACCGGCUAACUCCGUGCCAGCAGCCGCGGUAAUAC
rnacentral:rRNA from 1 species